rnacentral:lncRNA from 1 species
ACAGCAGCCGCCUGGGGCGCCUCCCCCGCUGGGCGGCACAAGGAGGCCCCUCCAGCGCUUUGUGCUUUCAAUUCCCGGGCAGGCAGCAGGGCCAGACCUCUCCCUUCCCCACCCCGACCCACAGGCGGCCCUUCGCAAAUGGUGGCUCGGCCCGGGGCGGGGGGCAGGGGGAUCCAAGCUCGUCAGGAGGGCUGGGGUCAGGCAUUCAAAGAUUCAGGACAUGGGGGGAAAGAGGGUGCCACUCCGGGCCCCAGCCCUCCGACGUGGCCUGCCUGCAGGGCCAGCCUCAAGCCUUGGGAUGGCUCAGAGGGGCAGCCGUGCAGGAUGAGCCCUGGGAGGGGGACAGGCUGUGCCUGAGCCCCGUGGGAGCGGGCCUUUUCGGCACCCCCCGGGGCGCAACCUCCUGGCAGGCUUGCCCAGGUCGCCAGCCGCCAGCCCUGCCUGUGCUCUCAUCUCAACCGCUUUGUGCUUCCACACCUAGAAAGCUUGUGCAGGGAGGGGCAUGGGGCCUCCUGCUCCCAAAACCCCAGAGUCAGGGCUUCCCGCCAGGACUGCAGAGCCAGCCCGCCAUGAGGUAGCGGACUCGUCGGCAACAGCAGGACAUAGGCAGGCAGGGACGCCGAGCACCUCUAAUGGGCCCCCCUCGAGCAAGGACAGGCUUGCAGCCACAGUCCAGGCCCCAGGCGAGGGCAGCCAGUCUUUUGUAUUUCUACAGUCUGUAAACAGUCAUGCAUAUUCUCGGGUACAGGUCACAAGUUUGAGCUUUCUGUUGAGCGGGUAGACAGAGGGGUGGGGCCGGGGGUAGACGGAGGGGCGGCUUCUCAGUGUCCACUUCUCAGUGGCGGAUGGGGCUCCCAGUGCCCCGGGGGGGUGCCAGCAGGAGGGGCUUCCAAUCCUGAAGGCACUGCCCCAGCUCUGCACGACUGCUCCCCGACGUCUGCCCCGAGUCCAGCCGGGGCCGCUCACAGUGGGACGGCUUUCUCAGCUGGGGGGCAGCUCUGUGCAGCAGGGUGAGGCCCUGUCCUUCCCUCCUCCCCGAGUGCCGGGCCCUGACCGCGUGGGGAGGGGUGCCGAGGGCCACCUCCUGAAGACCCAAAGGUCACUGUGUUCUCUGGACAGAGCUGGGGCUCCCGGCCCCCUAGACUGAGGCCAGGAAGCACAAGGCCAGGUCAGCGUUAGAAAAAUGCACGGAAAAGGAGAAAGAAAAGGAGCAUCUCAGGAGCGGGGGCCCAGCCCCCAGGAAAGAGCAGCUCAGCAGACUCGGCCUCACUGCUGGCCCCUCGGGGCGGGGAGGCCCUGGGCACUG